rnacentral:rRNA from 1 species
UACGGAGGGGGCUAGCGUUGUUCGGAAUUACUGGGCGUAAAGCGCACGUAGGCGGAUUGUAAGUAGAGGUGAAAGCCCAGGGCUUAACCCUGGAAUUGCCUUUAAGACUGCAUCGCUAGAAUCGUGGAGAGGUGAGUGGAAUUCCGAGUGUAGAGGUGAAAUUCGUAGAUAUUCGGAAGAACACCAGUGGCGAAGGACGACUUAC